ACAAGGAUUCCCCUAGUAGCGGCGAGCGAAGCGGGAAAAGCUCAAAUUUGUAAUCUGGCGUCUACGACGUCCGAGUUGUAAUCUCGAGAAGUGUUUUCCGUGAUAGACCGCAUACAAGUCUCUUGGAACAGAGCGUCAUAGUGGUGAGAACCCAGUACACGAUGCGGAUGCCUAUUACUUUGUGAUACACUUUCGAAGAGUCGAGUUGUUUGGGAAUGCAGCUCAAAUUGGGUGGUAAAUUCCAUCUAAAGCUAAAUAUUGGCGAGAGACCGAUAGCGAACAAGUACCGUGAGGGAAAGAUGAAAAGCACUUUGGAAAGAGAGUUAACAGUACGUGAAAUUGUUGGAAGGGAAACACAUGCAGCCAGACUUGCUAUUCGGGGCAACUCGAUUGGCAGGCCCGCAUCAGUUUUUCGGGGCGGAAAAGCAUAGAGAGAAGGUAGCAAUUUCGGUUGUGUUAUAGCUCUUUAUUGGAUUCGCCCUGGGGGACUGAGGAACGCAGCGUGCUUUUAGCAUAAGCUUCGGCUUAUCCACGCUUAGGAUGCGGGUGUAAUGGCUGUAUAUGACCCGUCUUGAAACACGGACC
rnacentral:rRNA from 1 species